UGCCCUCUUUUUUUGGCCGGCGCUGCCUCCUCUCUCUCUCCAAACCCUCAGAGAACCUUUUGCCCCUGCAAUUCCCUCUCUUCCAAUCUCUACCCUUCUGUCUUUCCGGUUUUCCCAAAAACCCCUUCAUACCCGCCAAAUCUCUCCUCUCUUCUUCUUCUCUGUGUCUUUUCAAAAAACCCCGCGAAAAAAAUCCCCUCACUCUCCUCUCUACUCCUCGCCAAACCCUAACUCUCCUCUCUUUCCUCAGAUCCGAUCCUGACCAUUUGUUUUCUCAGCUCCAGUUUCGAAUUCCUGCUCAGGAAUCGAUUUCUGCUGGGGUUCUCGACGCCUUGGGAGCGGUUCUUCUUGAGCCGAGAGCUCCUGUUGGUUCUAGGGUUUUCUUCUUGAGGAGAGAUUGAAAUCGAUGUGUCAGUGGAAGGUUCAGAGGCAUUUCUGGUUUGUAGUUUUCACCGAUUCGCGAAUUCGAGAAGCGGUGGCUGUAUUAGGAUUUUUUUGCAGAGAGAAGAAAGGUUUUUAUCUACAGACGCGUUUUGUUUUUGAUUGUUCUUCUUUUGCGAGAUAGGAUUGGUUGGAUACAAGUAGGAAGGAAGCAAUUCUGGGAUUGGAAUCAGUGUUUGGUAUUGUUCUGUCUGUGAGUUUCUUCCUUCUUCAUGGCUAAUCACGAUUUAAUUCUUGGGCAAAACCAUGGUUUGGCACUUGGGAAAAACCAGGAAUUGGGUCUCGGGCGUAGCCAUGUUUUGGGUCUUGCACAGAACAUUGGCAUGGGUCUCAGACAGACCCAUGACCAUAAAAUGGGUAUUGUACAUGCUCAUGACCAUCGAUUAGCUCUUGGACAGACACACGGUCAUGGUCAUGGCCAUGGCCGCCAUGAUCAUGAGAAUGAGCUAGCACUGGGUCAGAAUCAUGGCACUGACUCUGAGGAUCAUGAUGAUGACCAUGAAUUGGGCCUUGACGAGCAGACCCAUGAGUUAGGUAUGGCCGACAACCAUGAAUUGAGUGUUGGUGAGUCCGAUGAGCUGGCUGUUGAUCAGAACCUAGAGCUGACCGUUGAUCAGAGCCAGCCACUGGCAGUCCAGCAUGGACAGGAAAUAUCUAUUGCCCAAUCACAUAUGGUAGUCACUCCUGUCAUUCAGAGCCGUGCAAUUGUUGCACACCCCAGCCAUGAGCUGACUGUUGGACAAGAGUUUCAGGAUGUCAAAAGCUGUCGGCGGGCGUUGCGAGACGCGGCCAUUGCACAUCACUUUGAAAUACGGACGGUUAAAUCUGACAAGACCCGUUUCACUGCCAAGUGUGCUAGUGAGGGGUGUCCAUGGCGCAUACAUGCUGCGAAGCUCCCAGGUGUUCCAACCUUUACAAUCAGGACGAUUCAUGAGUCACAUAGUUGCCAGGGAAUUGACCAUCUUGGUCACCAGCAAGCUUCGGUUGAUUGGGUUGCGAACUCUGUGGAGGAACGCCUACGUGAGAACCCACAUUUCAAGCCAAAGGAGAUAUUGGAGGAGAUCCAUCGGGUUCAUGGUAUCACUUUAUCUUAUAAGCAGGCCUGGAGGGGGAAGGAGCGGAUCAUGGCCUCUGUUCGCGGGUCGUUCGAGGAAGGGUACCGUAUUCUUCCACAGUAUUGUGACCAGAUUUUAAGGACAAACCCAGGAAGCAUUGCGUCGGUUUAUGGAAAUCCUGUAGAUAACUGUUUCCAACGCCUUUUUGUCUCAUUUCAUGCUUCUAUCUAUGGUUUUGUGAAUGCCUGCCGGCCGCUCCUUGGGCUUGAUAGAACUCUUCUGAAAAGCAAGUAUCUUGGGACCUUGCUUUUCGCUACUGGUUUUGAUGGAGAUGGUGCUUUGUUUCCUCUAGCGUUCGGGGUCGUCGAUGAAGAAAAUGAUGACAACUGGAUGUGGUUUUUAUCUGAACUGCACAACCUUCUUGAGGUUAACACAGAGAACAUGCCAAGGCUGACAAUACUGUCUGAUAGGCAGAAAGGCAUUGUUGAGGGAGUGGAAGCGAACUUCCCAACUGCGUUUCAUGGGUUCUGCAUGCGCCACCUUAGUGAUAGCUUCCGGAAAGAGUUCAAUGAUACAAUGCUUGUUAACCUCCUCUGGGAAGCUGCUCAAGCGCUCACGGUUAUUGAUUUUGAGGCCAAAGUACUUGAAAUCGAAGAAAUUUCGCCAGAUGCUGCUUAUUGGAUUCGUCGUAUUCCGCCACGUCUAUGGGCUACCGCUUAUUUUGAUGGAACACGGUUUGGGCAUCUGACGGCAAAUAUAGUCGAGUCAUUGAAUACAUGGAUACUUGAAGCAUCCGGGCUUCCGAUAAUUCAAAUGAUGGAGUGCAUCCGUCGCCAGCUGAUGACUUGGUUUAAUGAACGGCGGGAAACGAGCAUGCAAUGGACGACAAUACUUGUCCCUGCUGCUGAGAGACGUGUAUCUGAGGCUCUCGAGCGCGCACGUACCUUUCAGGUUCUUCGUUCAAAUGAGGCAGAGUUUGAAGUUAUAUCUCAUGAAGGAACAAGUAUUGUGGAUAUUCGGAAUCGUUGCUGUCUGUGUCGUGGUUGGCAGCUUUAUGGACUGCCAUGUGCACAUGCUGUUGCAGCGCUCCUUUCCUGCAGGCAGAAUGUCCAUCGGUUCACCGAGAGCUGUUUCACUGUUGCAACAUAUCGGAAGACCUACUCUCAGACAAUACAUCCUGUCCCUGAUAAAAGCCUUUGGAAGGAGUUGUCUGAGGGAACACAGAAUGGGGGCCCCCCUGAUAGAAUCAUAAAUCCGCCCAAGUCCCUUCGACCUCCUGGGCGGCCCAGAAAGAAGCGAGUGCGUGCAGAGGACCGUGGUCGAAUAAAGCGAGUUGUACAUUGUAGUCGUUGCAAUCAGACGGGACACUUUAGAACGACAUGUGCUGCACCUAUAUAAGUCUUCUCUGUUGAUAUGUUACGGUCUUCUCUUCCUUGGCAAGAAUUGGGGUAUUUUCUCUCUUGUGAAAAGUAGGCUUCUUGAGUGUUGGAUCCCACAUAGAAGUCAAACAAAUUGCCAGAUUACUUCACAAUGGCAAGAAAUAGGGCAAGGUCAGCAGAUGGGAGGAAGAAAAAUGAUACCAAGGCAAUAAGAGAGACAGUAUUUCCAAAACCAUGAUGCACAACACAUGCAAGUUGGGUUGGCUUGCACAACCAAUGUUGCAUUGAGAAGAGGCAUGAGAGCUCGAAGUGAUAGCAUGCCAUUCCCGAUGUUGAGGAUAGCAUCGAAGACCAAGGUCGUCAUGGAUGGCAUCGUUCAAGGCAUGGAUUUGAAGAUUGGGAUUACUUUCAAGGUGUGAAGGUCUAUUUGUCUGAAUUUAACUGGUUGAUGUGUCCAGAGAAGUUCUUGGACUGGUUAGUGAGUGUUGAAUAGUUUUGAGUGGUAUGUCUCCCUGAUCACAUAGUAAAUUUACUUGGUGGUUA